rnacentral:sRNA from 1 species
AUAAUGGGCCUUUCAGGCAUCCUCUCCUAAAACUUUACGGGCCGGCCCUUUAUGGACCGGCCCUUUUUUUGGCCCGC